GACGAACGCUGGCGGCGUGCCUAACACAUGCAAGUCGAACGGAAAGGUCCGGCUUUUGGGCGGUGCGCGAGUUGCGAACGGGGGAGUAACACUUGAGUAAGGUGUACCUGACUGUGGGAUGUGCUAAGGCAACUUGGGCUAAUAGGGGAUAGGAGCUCUUGCCGCUUGGUGGGGGCUGGAAAGUUUCGGGGGUUGGGGGUGGACACGCGGCUGAUCAGCGUGUUGGUGGGGUAGUGGCCUACCAAGGCGACGACCGGUAGCCGGUCUGAGAGGAUGAUCAGCCACAUUGGGACUGAGACACGGCCCAGACUCCUACGGGAGGCAGCAGUGGGGAAUAUUGGACAAUGGGCGAAAGCCUGAUCCAGCAAUGCCGCGUGAGUGAUGAAGGCCUUAGGGUUGUAAAGCUCUUUUACCCGGGAUGAUAAUGACGGUACCGGGAGAAGAAGCCCCGGCUAACUCCGUG
rnacentral:rRNA from 1 species